rnacentral:rRNA from 1 species
CGGUGGAGUGGUUUGUCUGCUUAAUUGCGAUAACGGACGAGACUCUUACCGGGGUAGUUAUAUGAAUAGGAGUUUUGGGCAGCCUCUGGCUUAACCGCUACGCAGUCCGCUCACUCCUCAUACCCCUACCGGAACAGGCGGUAUCGAAGCCGUACGAGAAAGAGCAAUAACA